rnacentral:misc_RNA from 1 species
AGGGGGAGGGUGGCCGAACCCCCCGGGGCGUGCAAGGGUCGUGUUUUAUGGGCAAAAACACGUGGAUUUGAGUGGGAUCCAAGAGGUUGGCGCACGCCCCUAGGCAAGACGUAGCGGUUGGCUCAGUCGGAUGACGUUUCCCUGUAACCAUCACCGUAAACCGGUCCUUUAGUAUCCGUACGGGGAUCUGGGUCUGAGGUGUAUUGCAUGAGGUGUAGCACCAUGAAAUUGACGAUUUGAGCUCCGCCGCGCAACAACGUGUUUAUCCGGUGUCGUCCACGAUACUUGGGAGUCACUGGCCCGGUCUCGUAAACGUUCCCAGUCGGUAUGAUUCCCCAAAAAGGUGAUUGCCGCGUUACGUUUUUCGUGUUCCAUAUGGGCUACUUCUCCUCAGUCGCUCUGGGUGGUCAUCCAUGUUAACCACGGAUAAUGCGCUUAUCCGGUGUCGUCCACGAUACUUGGGAGUCACUGGCCCGGUCUCGUAAACGUUCCUAGUCGGUAUGAUUCCCCAAAAAGGUGAUUGCCGCGUUACGUUUUCGUGUUCCAUAUGGGCUACUUCUCCUCAGUCGCUCUGGGUGGUCAUCCGCGGUAGGCACAUUCCAUCGCCUCUAGUCCCUUCAGAGAAAUGUUGCCCCAUGACGGUAUCGUUAUUGGUGUAACACCCGCGCGCCGUGGACACUCAUUGGUGUAACACCCGCGCGCCGUGGACACUCAGGACGCCUUCGUGCAGGCCAUUCCCCCGUGCUAUGCGUGGGGGGAGGCUUGGUUGGCUUGACCGAUGUGGAUACGCGAGCGGAUGAGUAGCUUUGGACCCGUGUCUGUUGUUAGAUCCCCCGUCCUCGUGCGGCCGACUAGCGACGCCGUGUCCCGUCAUUCGUGUGGCUUAUGUUACUGUUGCCUUUCAAGUGCUUGCGUGCAUGUACCCGACCUACGGGAAGUGGUGCUUUGUACACGCUUGCCUCGCGGCGGACACCUCUGGGUGUUCCGCUGCGGCCUAAUGGCGCUUGCGGCGUUACCUCGUGGUACUGGCACGUUUUGUGCUCGGUGCUAUCAAGGAAGCCUCGCUCUCGCUAUUGGUUUCGGAUGCCGCUCACGAUAAUGGUUAAUGGCCCUUCUGGUUGCCGCUCACGAUAAAGGUUAAUAGCCCUUCUGGUUGUCGCUAGUCCCACCUGAAAAGAAGCUUUCUGGAUCUGAACGGCGGUAGUACGGUGUGUUGCAUGUAUUUCCCACAGUUUGUGGGGAGAAGCAACACGCUUGGAAACCUCUCUAGUAGGAAAAGGAAAGCUUAGUCCCGUUCAAGUGCGACAACCGGACCGGCUAUUGACCUCAAAACAAGCUCUCUGGAUCAGAACGGUCUUAGUACGGGGUGUUGCAUGUAUUCCCCACAUUUUGUGGUAGGAGACGCAUCACGCUGGAAAUGUCUCUAGUAGGAGAAGGAAAGCUUAGUCCCGCUUAAUAGCGACAACCGGAACGGCUGUUGACCCACCUCAAAAGAAGCCAUCUGGAUCAGAACGGACUUAGUACGGGGUGUUGCAUGUAUUCCCCACAGUUUGUGGUAGGAGACGCAACACGCUGGAAAUGUCUCUAGUAGGUGAAGGAAAGCUUAGUCCCGAUGAAUUGCGACAACCGGACCGGCUGUUGUCUGCCUGCAAGGGCGGAUGACUACCGUCGCUGGACGUCGAAGAGGACUCGC